rnacentral:rRNA from 1 species
UACGGAGGGUGCAAGCGUUGUCCGGAAUCACUGGGCGUAAAGGGCGCGUAGGCGGCUCAUGAAGGCUGUGGUGAAAGUCCGGGGCUCAACCUCGGAUCGGCCGUGGCGACUCGUGGGCUGGAGCACUGUAGAGGCGGGUGGAAUUCCGGGUGUAGCGGUGGAAUGCGUAGAGAUCCGGAAGAACACCGGUGGCGAAGGCGGCCCGCUGGGCUGUUGCUGACGCUGAGGCGCGACAGCGUGGGGGAGCAAACAGGAUUGA